GACGAACGCUGGCGGCGUGCUUAACACAUGCAAGUCGAACGGAAAGGCCCUGCUUUUGUGGGGUGCUCGAGUGGCGAACGGGUGAGUAACACGUGAGUAACCUGCCCUUGACUUUGGGAUAACUUCAGGAAACUGGGGCUAAUACCGGAUAGGAGCUCCUGCUGCAUGGUGGGGGUUGGAAAGUUUCGGCGGUUGGGGAUGGACUCGCGGCUUAUCAGCUUGUUGGUGGGGUAGUGGCUUACCAAGGCUUUGACGGGUAGCCGGCCUGUGAGGGUGACCGGCGACAUUGGGACUGAGAUACGGCCCAGACUGCUACGGGAGGCAGCAGUGGCGAAUAUUGCACGAUGGGCGGACGCCUGAUGCAGCAACGCCGCGUGCGGGAUGACGGCCUUCGGGUUGUAAACCGCUUUCGCCUGUGACGAAGCGUGAGUGACGGUAAUGGGUAAAGAAGCACCGGCUAAAUACGUG
rnacentral:rRNA from 1 species